GCUAAGUGGGGGGCGGGUGCCGAGGGAAUGCUGAGGUGGCGAUCGUGUUGUGGAAUUACUGGGCGUAAAGGGCGCGUAGGGGGCCAGCUAAGUCAGACGUGAAAUCCCCCGGCGUAACCUGGGAACUGCGGCUGAUACUGGACGGCUUGAGUAUGGGAGAGGGAUGUAGAAUUCCAGGUGUAGCGGUGAAAUGCGUAGAUAUCUGGAGGAAUACCGGUGGCGAAGGCGGCAUCCUGGACCAUUACUGACGCUGAUGCGCGAAAGCUAGGGGAGCAAACGGGAUUAGAUACCCUAGUAGUC
rnacentral:rRNA from 1 species